UAAUCUGUUCCCUUUGAGUUAUUAUCUUUUUUAUUUCUCUGAACAUCAACAAAAUCUUGUACACUUGUAGCGCAUUUAGAAAUCAUACAUUUAAAAACUUGAUCUCUGUAGUUUUCAACGAAAAAAUAAAUCUUAUGAAUAAUGUAGUUUCGCUUUUCGGUUUGUCAAACGGUCAAUAACAAGUCAUUCAUAGUAGGAGAAAACAUUUAAAUAAACUGCUUUGCAUAUUCUUCUUCAGUCUGUAUCCGAUCAUUUUCGAGUGAAAACGUCUUUUUUUCUCAAAGUUACAUAAGUCAUUAUUAGAAAAAUAAAAUUUGGUGAUAAUGAAGACAAUAAUUAUUCUCUUAACAGUCGUUGUAAUCACCACGACGCUGGAAUUACCUAGCAAUAUUACACUUUGUCAUAAGUCAGAUCCAAAAGUAUUAAAAUGUCUUGGAGAAGCCACCGAAACUAUGAUGAAAAUCGUAGCCAAUGGUCUGAAGGGCUU